rnacentral:misc_RNA from 1 species
UUCCUGAUCUUCCCAAGGUACCAAAAGUGGCAAGUGGCCCAAAGGCCUCAGAAUUAAAAGCCAAGGUAGAAGCUGAGCAGCAUGCCCUUCGCCGAAUGCGUAUGUGCCUCAGAGAUAUUUGCAAUCGGAUACUGUAUGAUAAACGGUUUAGUGCCUUCCAUUAUCCUGUCACAGAUGAGGAUGCUCCAAAUUAUCGCACAAUAAUCCAGAAUCCUAUGGACGUGGCUACUCUGCUGCAGCGUGUCGACUGUGGUCAGUAUAUUACAUGCAGAGCAUUCUUACAAGACAUUGAUCUCAUCGUGACCAAUGCAAAGAUGUAUAAUGGAGAUGAUUACAAUGGUGCCAGGAUUGUUAGUAGGGCUUAUGAGCUUCGGGAUGCAGUACAUGGAAUGCUGUCACAGAUGGACCCUGCACUUGUUGCAUUCUGUGACAAGAUUGCUGCCCAAGGAGGUCCAGUUCAUGUACCAGAGGAUUUAGGGGGAUCUAUUUUCCCACCAACGCCAGUUGUGCAGCUGGCAACUGUUACCAGAGCAAGUGCCCGACUACGUAAUGUACAGCCAGAGGUUAAUCUGGAUCAAAGCU